UUAUAUGCAGUUGGACAUCAACAAGCAUUGACGGAAAUGUAGAGCCAGCUAUUUGGAUGAAAUGUCACUUUUUACAGUUCUAAUCAAAGCUGGUCCACAAGGCACAUUUAAUUCGGCAAUCAAUAUGCGAUAUGAAUUCAAAAUGUGUACUUGUUGUAUUUUGUUCGUCUGAUGUAAAAGUAUCCUCACAUCUUUGCGGCACUGCAUCCAAUGUUUAUCUUAUUUGGAUGAUUUUGCAACAACGGGCACUUCUAUGUCCUUGGGGUAGUACAUUUUUUGAAUUUUAUAUAAUUUUUCAUUUUUUAAUUCUUUAUAUGUUAAGUUAACACGACAAUCACCCCAUACCUUUUUUAACACCUCUCUAUCAAGUAUUUUAGCAUAUUUUCAGAUGUAUUUUAUACCUACAUUUCACUUUUUCCCUUGUCCCUGACCCAGAAUGUUGAGCUUCUACUAUGUUUUUCUAUAGGAAAACAUUGUAUAAUGUGUAAUUAUUAAUGUUAUCUACUAGAGAAAGAGUCAAUGAAAUGAAAUUUAUAUCAAUAUUUAUUGUGAGUAUGCCCUUUUAUAUUGUUUUUGUUUUUUUACACAAAAUAUACCUGUCCGUUGGUAGUCGUGUAAUUUCCACCAUUGAGGACAAAUUCCUCAUUAAUAAAGUUUUUUCAAAAGACUUAAUUUAGUUACCAUGGAAACUUAUUGUGACACUGAAGCACAUGGCUGCAACUUACAGUUGUUCCAGAUGUGAUGUCCAGAAGUUGAAGAAAAAUCGAGAAGAUGCCACAUAAAACAGCACAGAGGUCACUGACAUGACAAAAAAAAGUAUCCUAUAUGAUACCAGGAACAUUUGCAAUAAGACAGGGAGAGAUGCUGGAAGAAAAAGGAGAAGUGAAAUCUAUCUCUGAGCUGACAAAGCGAGAACAAAGAAGCAAGAGAAGGCAAUGGAAAUGCAACCAAUGGAAUAGAAGACAGGCUUGAAAGAGAACAGUUGCAAUGGAGACCUACCUAUCAGGCAACACAACACCUCAGUCACCAGAUGACUUGCAGCCAGAACAUGAGGCCAACAUACCUGCCCCUGAUGCACGACAUGAUACCCCUUCCUCAUCGUCUGCAACAGGAAUGAGAAGUCAAAUACUUGCUGGAAGUAAAAAAGGUUGGAAGAGGUCGCUCAAAAACAUACACAGAUCUUUGCAUGACAAUGUCAAACCUGAUAAUGCAUUACGGAAAGCUGAGAAAAACUGAUGAAGAAAAUGGGGAGAAAGAUUCCUCAAAGACAAAAAGAAAGGGAACUGAAGGGAACUCUGAAGAACUUGAGAAGGAUUUUAUUGUUUCAAAAUGCCAUCAUUGCAGAGUUAAAGCAAAAAUAUUUUAAAAAAUGUGCAUUGCCAAGGACAAACAAGUGGUUUAAAAAGUGCUCAGAGGCAACAUCCUGAGAAAGUAUGGCCUGGUCAAAGCCGCAAACAGAUCAUUUGGAUUUUCAGCAAAAGCAAUGAGGGCAAAUGAAAACAGGCCAACAAGUCUUCAAUACUCCAGGAAAAAGCAGUGUAACAGAAUUAGCACAGCCACAGAAGAGAAAAUCACUUGAUUUUAUGAACGUGAUGACAACAGUAGAGCAACAACGGGAUAAGGACACACUAAGAAGGAACAAGAAGAAAAAACAGAAGCGCUUCUUUAAUGGCAUAAUUCAGAACCUUUUCCUACUAUCCAUUCUGCAAAAUACGUCCUUUUUGGGUUGUCAAGCCAACAGUCCAGGAUAGGGACACAUGCCUCUGCAAAACCUACGCCAACCUCCAGUUCAUGGCAGACAAACUACAGUAUCACAAAGUGAUCAGCUGCAACAACAUUGAGAACCUUAUUGAGUCUUUGUGCUGUGAGAACCUGAAGAAAGAGUGCAUGUACACAGUGUGCUCCCUUUGUCUAGCAAAAUAGUUAAAAACAUUUGACUUUGAUUCUGGUGAUCAGACAUGGUGGUUUGAGUGGAAAAACAAUGCUGACGAGAGAGAAGAAAAACAAAGACAUUUGACAGUAAAAGAAAAGGUGUGUGGCACACUGCAGAUUCUACUGGAGGACUUCUCCAAAGGAUUGAAAGAGAAGUUGGGGAAACACGUGCACAACAUUUGACACCAAUACUCAAAACUGGUGAGAAUUAAAAGUGAAUCUGGAGAAAGAGGAGAUCAUCAUUGACUUUGCAGAGAACUACCUGUGUAAAGACACCAGUGAAAUCUAGGCAGUUCACUUUGGUGAUUCAUACAAGCAGGUGACUGUCCACACCUGUGUUGGAUAUACCACAAUUAUACAGUUUCACUUUGCUCACUGAGCUCUUCGAUAACCCCUCUGCUAUCUGGGCCCAUCUCUCAAAAACACUGGCCUACUUUCUUGUGCUCUGCCCAUCGGCUACUGCUGUACACUUUGUGAGUGAUGGGCCUACAACCCAGUAUAGGUCAACAUUUUUUUUAUACUAUCGCUCCACCCUUCCGUUUGAAAUGGGCUUCCAGAGAGUCACAUGGAAUUUCCUAGAAGCCGGACAUGGAAAAGGCCCAGCUGAUGGGGUAGGAGCAUCUGUGAAACAAAGAGCAGAUGGAAUUGUGGCACAAGGCAAGGACCUCCCAAAUGGAAGAACUGUAUUUGAGGAAUUGUCAAAAGUUCAGUCAGCUGUCAAGCUCUUAUAUAUCUCAAAGGAGAUAAAGAGCAUUGGAGGCCUUCCCACCAGAUCACCUGGAGACAAUCUGUGGGACAAUGAAGAUACACCAGAUCGUCACCGACGGUCCACAGGAUACUCAGUUGCUUCUGUUCCUUUUCCACAUCACUGCACUCCACAGACUGUGACUCUGUUUGAAAAAAUAGAGGCAGACCAAGAUGGAAAAUCCAACACAUCUCACAGCGCCUUCCAGCCUGUUGAAGAUCAAGUGAAGCAUUGAUUGGAAAGUGGUGUGUGGUGGAGUAUGAUCAGGACGUUUACCCUGGUAUCGUGCAAGACGUUCACACAGAGAGUGGUGCUCUUGUUAAAACCAUGAGUCGCGUUGGCCCCAACCGUUUUUUUUGGGCCAAUGAGAGACAUCAUAUGGUACAGACCACAGCAUGUGCUUAGACUUGCCCCUGAACCCGACCCGGUGACCAAAAGGCAAAUGGAGCAUGGUUGGUCUGAGAGGAAUGUGGCUCUAUUUCUAAGCCUUAGAUACUCAUAUACAGUAGAAAGCAGGACAUAAAACCAUGCAUUAAAUAAAACAUGUGCAGCUCAUAAUUAACUUUUCCCUCAAUAUAUAGGUGCUGGAAGUUCUAGUUGUUGCAUCUAAGUGUAGUCAAAGACAAAACGUUGUUCUCAUGUUAAAAAGAUGCUAGUUCGUGUUUUAGAAUCUUUGUCUUAUAUUAUUUGUUUAAGGUUUUCCUAAAAUUAAUAAUUCGACACGAUGCCUGAAUGUAUAAACUUGACUUGGCGACAGCUGAAAAUAUUUUGCAUGAAAAAUAUUUCCACCCAACCUUUUUGUGAGAUUAUGAUAACAACCAUAUGAUUUCCCUAUCUAAAACAAAUCAAUGUAAAUUAUACAUAAUAUACUAAUUUACCUCAGAAAUAUGUGUUGUGGUGGAAAUUACAUUAUGUAAAAUAAAAUUACUUAGGAAAACAAUAUUUUAUUGCUAACAUUUUGAACCACAACCAUUGUUAAUUUGUGGUGCUGACUUGACUGCCGGUUAUUGGAGGGAAACGAUUUCCUGAAC